CCGGAAUCGCCCGAGGCCUGAGCCAAGGGGGACGCGGCGGGCGCGGCUCAGGCAGGGCCCUCAGGUUAGUGGGUCCGGGCUGUUCCCGCGCUUCGGCCUCAUCCUCCCUGGCUGCCCUCUCCUGAUGAACGCCCCGCGAGCGGAGUCACCACCGCCAGCGAGGAGACGCGCCGCCUUGACUGGGGCCCUGGCCCCGGGACAGGCGAGCAGGAAGGGAUAGAAGGGACGGAAGCGCGGGCAGGACUAGGAGGAGCCCAUCCCCGAGCUAUGCGUCCCUAGAGCCACUGGGACCCGGGGCUCCAGCCAGCCCUGCGGAGGCGAGCCAGACCGGGGACCAGGGCGCCGGGAAGACGACUCCUGGCCAGCGGGUGCUUCUGUGAAAAAACGCAAGCCGUUUGGAGACAGGCACAGCCGGGAAAGGGUCCCCUUGCCCCUUGGCUCGCAGAGGGCGUCCGUGUUCGGCGCUCAGUCUUCUGGGUGUUUUCCCCGUGCUCCGGUUCUGAGAUGGGAACUGUUCCACGUGCACUGCGAUGCAGCUCGGUCUUUUUAACAGGUUUUAGACUGGCGUUUCAUGAAAAACCUUAUCAAUUACAAUCAAAAUUUGGAAACUAUGUGCAGUGGUUCACACCUAUAAUCCCUUCACUUUGGGAGGCUGAGUUGAUGGGAUUGCUUGAGGCCAGAAUUUGAGAC